UGUAGGUCUCUUCCUUCGGACUGAAAAUCACUCUAAUUCAGCAAUGUAGUGUAGGAGUAAAGGAGGAGACAAAAGAAGUCUGUGAGUUGUUCUUACUCUAACAAGUUUCAGGGCUGUCCAGAGCAUGGCUUAGGUGAUUGAAGAAACCACCCACGGGAUCAUGACAGAAGCCCCAGUGAUAGUCUUCUCAGAUUGAACCGCAGUACUAACGGAGAUUACCGAAAUUUCUAUGUUGUUUUAUCACAUUGAAAUCAAUGGAAAGCAAAGGACAGGAAAGAGCCAAACAGACAAUUUUCCCUUCUCAUCUCUAUGAUGUGAUCCCUCCUUACAGUUCUUCUGGAAAAGUCCAGAGUGCCAAGCAAAUAUACUGACUGUGGGGUCCUGCUGUGCUGCAUCAUGGCUCAUUUUGAACCGGUGGUCAAUCUAGGAAGCCAUCUCCUUAGAUACUUUGCAUCAUUUCCUUUCCCUCUCCUUCAUCACUGGGGGCUUGUACUUCCCAAAUAAAAUAUCAACAAUUCAAUCCA